AAUCGAUGUUAUAGAAAUGCUUCCUAUAAACAUCUAUGCAAUCUGCAAUAUCUCUGAUAAUAUUAUUUAUACAUUUAUUAUUAGGAUUAGGUAAAGUAAUAGUAUUUCGUCACAUUUUGAUAAAUAUAAAGGAUGUUGUAACUGUAAUACAAUUAUAUUAAUAAAUAAAUUUGGGUUUGGUGGUGGAGCGAGGUAUAUUGGUGCUGAGAGGGACAUCUGGGAUUUUGAUGACAGAAAUGGAUGAUGUUAAAUUUUUACAUGCAAAUCAGCAGGGAACAUUUACAAAAAAUCAUCUGUGAAUAGCACAUCUUAAUGUUCGAUUUUUAAAUACCGGUUUUGAUGAACUUGUUACCUAUAUUUCUAUCAAGAGUCGAGUAUUUUCUACGUAUUUCGGGAGCAGGAAUAUUUAAAUAUAUAAGCGGGAUCGUGAAGCAGAGCAAGGCAAUUCAGUGCGACGGGACGACGAGACCACGAAUACAAUUCAAUUCAACUGGUAUAUUACUCUGUCAAAUGGAUAUCAGAAAAUUGUAUGAAAGAGGGACAAUUACGCGAAAAAGGAAAAGAGGUCGGGAAAGUAGCAGUAGAAGCGGAAGCGAUGAAAAUGACAACCAUGAUAAAACUACUCAUGUAAUGCCAAGAUCAUUGCAUGCUAACAUUGGGCAAGCGUCACAUUUUCCAGUAGAACCGGUUAAUAUAUCUGUUGCUGACUGUUCUUCUCCAUCGACGUUCCAACAAACUUAUGAUAUCAACGUCGAUUCUGAAUUUAUAGUGGACGAUGGCUAUCAUGAAAAUGAUCUGGAUCGUUAUGUUGGGUUGGCUACCCAGCUAUCAAUGGAAAAGAAGAAAGAGUUGUUUGAGAUUUGCGAUUUUUGAAAAUGAUGCAAGCCAUUUGAAAAGAAAAUUUAAUCAUGCUUGGUUGGAUAUUUUAAAUUUUAAGUUUUCUUUAGUCUUUAGAAUUUUUUUGUUAAUAUUAUACGUGUAUAAAAUUUUCUUUUUCAUUACCAUAGAGUAUAGACGAAUAAGAUGACAAAUUUCCCAUUCAUAAGGAAGGGGUUAUUUUACACACUUGUUAUAUAAAUAAUUAAUAAUAUCAAUAGA